GGGGUCAUAGCUCAGUAGGGAGAGCGCUUGCAUGGCAUGCAAGAGGUCGGCGGUUCGAACCCGCCUGACUCCACCA
rnacentral:tRNA from 1 species